rnacentral:lncRNA from 1 species
AUGGCCAACAAGUAUAUGAAAAAAUGUUCAACGUCGCUAAUCGUCAGGGAACUACAAAUCCAAAUCACGAUAUAUCACCUCAUGCCAGACAGAAUGCCUAUUAGCAAAAAGACAAAAGUUAACAAAUUCUGGCUAUGUAAUCACCUAAGGCAUCUGUCAGGUAACAGCCUUCAUCAGUCUGACCCCUGAUAGCCUACAAUGUGCAGACCCUCUUUGCUGACCGAUCAUGAGCAUGCAGAAUGUGUGAGAAAUAAGCAUUUGUGCUUUAAUUUACAGAUAUUUAGAGGUUGAUUAUUACAGUGGUAGAAUGGAGCCUAACCUGACCACUAUAAAAAUGGGCACUGAAAUGAGAUGUUAUAAAACAGAAAACCUAAUCUAUGUGGCAUUGACUUCAGGGCCUGUUGGAAAGUGGUGAGAAAAAUGUUCAAGGUGGAAAAAUCAUGAUUCAUCUAUGAAGUGGUGAAAGAUUUAGCGAAAUUGCCUAUAAUAACUUUGCAGACAUAUAAUGUGCCUAGUGAUUUUGAACUGUAGGUGAAAAUACUAGAAAACAGAAUGUUAUUAGUGUGUUUACUUACUUUUGUUGUCCUCUAAUAAGAAACCUGUGAGCAAUAGUUCCACUCAGGAAAUUAUUUGCCAUUAUGCAAGCAUGAAUAAAAGGGACAGGAGAGUGUCUAGAAAUACAGAAAAUUUCAAGGUUGGAAGAGGCCUGUUGAUUCUUAUUUCUAAUGGGUAAAAGAUAACACUGAGAAGAGAUCUGCACUACAAAUUCAAUUAGAACUCAGACCUGAAGCAAGGAUUCAGUUGAAAGUAAAGCCAACUUUUUCUUUAUCAUUAAAGUGGUAUUGAAUAAAUCCUUUCAGUUGGAUAAAAAUGGCCCAGGAUAAAGCGAGCAAUGGGAUGAAAGACUAAGCUGAUCCAUGGAGACAGAGAGACUCACCAUCCUCACAUUUCAACAGAAAUAGAGGCAUCUCUCCAAAAGACUUGUGGGUAUGGCUAUUGCAUAAGUAAAGACCACCAGACUCAGAUACCUCUGAAACUCACUAAGUUUUGAAAGCAGUGAAUUGCCACAAGAAGAAACAGGCUGUGGCUGUUUGAGACUGAAAAUGACUUUGUGUUUCCAAAGUUCUGAUGGGCAGAACCAGUGUUAGUUUCCAAGGAAGGCAGACAUAUUCAGCUGGCUCUCUUCAGAUCUAAUGAUAUCAGAUGGUGGAAAAGGAAGUUUUCUCCAAAAGUGACAGCCAAGAGCCAAGGGAGUCAAAGACUGAAGAAUGGUCAGAAUUAGAGCCUAACCAAAGAAACUUCUAAACCCCCCAGAGUCAAAUGCCUCACGACGUGUGUUAUUUCUCAAGUACAAGAGGUCAGUGUUUUCCAUGGGAUGCCAUUAUUCACCUCUCUGUAUAAAAGUAUUUAUUAUAGAAAUUCUAUCUCCUUUUCACUAUUGUAUAUUGACUGUGUGUUUGUUAGUUUGAGUCUCUGUAUCAGGCAGACCAGAUAAAGAUGAAAAUAGAAAUUUCAAACUUUAGGCUUAAAGACAUAUUUGGAUGGGAUUUUGGAGUUGUCCCUUGGGUGGAAAGGUGGUGAGUAUAUUUUUCAAAUAAGAAAAAGCAAACAGAAUAUUAUGAAUAUAGGAACAGUCCAUGAGAAUCAUUUGGGCUACUCACAAGUGUUUAAUAACCUUCUGGCCCAUGGUAGAAGUACCCUUCUCUGAUAAUUCAAACUCAAGCAUGGCCUCAUGAUUUCUUUUGGCCAAUGAAUUUAGAGGGAAAGGGGUGUUUACUGUUGGCCAAAUUCUCUCUUCCCUUGUUCAGUAAUCAUGGAAGUCUGUGUCAAGAUGGAGUCUCUGUUAGCCUUAGCCCUUGAGUGCCUGCAAUAAGCAAAGACCCUUUGCCAGCGUACAGCAUAGUCUACCCUAUCCUGAUAAAUAGAGUCCACUUUACUGUUUAGAAAGAACUCUCAGAAGUGAGUUUUGAUGGUUAUAAUUGUUACAACAUGGACCACAAUUCUAUCCUUGAACAAAUCACUGGCAGCAAAGAAUAAAGUAUGCUGAGUAGUUUCAGAACAGGCUACAUGACCUUCUUAGAGAUUACGGUAGUGUUGAUAUCAUUGAACAACUUUGGGAUAAGGAGAAAAAGUUGAUUUUCACAGAUCUGGCAUUUAAUGGAUGUUCUGUUUAUAGAAGUGGUUGAAUGGAUGUGGGACAAUAAAAUCAACACCUACCUGAUCCACCAAUAAUUCUACAUUAUCUGUAUCAUAUGCAUGUAACUCUUUGAUAGUUCUACUUCUGUGGAUUUUAUGAGACAUAAUGGCAUUACUGUAACAUUUUUUUCCUUGAGAAAGAUUGAGCUGGCUUAUAGUCAUUGUCAAUGUGACAAGCUAACCAAAAUCAAAGCUCUAAAUUUUUUAAAUAAAACUUAUCAAAUUAGAUGAAUAUGCUAUCAUGAUAAAUGCUGGUGUUUCCCACCAUUUCCUAAGCUCUAAGACACAGAAGAAUCUCAGAGGAUGACUGUAUCACAUGAGCAUGGAUUACCCUCAAAGACAGAAUUUCUGCUGGGCUUCUUAAAGAAUUUCUAAAUAUUCCAAAUAUGGUAUUUCAAAAAGUCAGUUUUUCUCCACUUCUCAGUUCACACUAACUCUGAAAACUGGUUAGUUUGUAGAUUGUAACUAUGAAGAAUACUAUCCUUGGGAUUGCUUUUCUUAUUCAUGAUAAUGUUGACAUGCCUUGUAUACUCAGAUUUCACAGUUCUCACACACCCAAACACACACACACACACACGCCACAUUAAAGUAACUGGAUAAAUGCACUUCCAGAUCUACUUUAGGACAACUCUGAUAUGAAUUGACCUUUGAGCUAUUACAAUGAGAACUUCAGUAUGAUUUUAAAACAAAGGACAUCCACACAGUUGAUUUUGUUGUAUUGGUUUGAGCAAUGAACUGUAUAAUUUAUUUUUCUGCCAACAAUAUUUUAUUUGUCUAGGCUUGCCAAGGGAAGGACCAAGUAAAAUCCUUUCUUGAGUAGAGGAAUCUUUAAAAGAUUUGAGGCUUCUUUAACAUCUAACCUUAGAUGUGGCUUUCAUCUUUAACCUAUAUAACCUAUAUGGCCAAGCUCCACAAUUAUCUUGUCCUUAUAAUCCAGAGAGGCCAAAGGAUUGUAACAGCUUUCUUUCAAUCCCUUGGCUAAUAGAGAAGGAGUCUAAGUGAUCCUGAAUUAUAGCUUGCUCCCAAAACUGGAUGGACUACUGUGUCUAUAUAAUCACAUGGUUUAAAAAUGCAUGAAGUAGGCUCAAUGCAGUGGCUCAUGCCUGUAAUCCCAGAACUUUGGGAGGCCGAGGCGGGCAGAUCACCUGAGGUCAGUAGUUUGAGAUUAGUCUGAUUUACAUUGAGAAACCCCACCUCUACUAAAAAUACAAAAUUAGCUGGGCAUGGUGGCGGGCACCUGUAAUCGCAGCUACCCGGGAUGCUGAGGCAAGAGAAUUGCUUGAACCCAGAAGGAGGAGGUUGCUGUGAGCCAAGAUCCUGCCACUGCACUCAAGCCUGGGCAACAAGAGUAGAAUUCUGUCUCAAAAAAAAAAAAAUGCAUGAAGUAGGCUUAAAGUUUUGUGGAGAAUGGAGCUAAGUA